rnacentral:rRNA from 1 species
AUUGAACGCUGGCGGCAUGCCUUACACAUGCAAGUCGAACGGCAGCACGGGUGCUUGCACCUGGUGGCGAGUGGCGAACGGGUGAGUAAUACAUCGGAACAUGUCCUGUAGUGGGGGAUAGCCCGUCGAAAGCCGGAUUAAUACCGCAUACGAUCCACGGAUGAAAGCGGGGGACCUUCGGGCCUCGCGCUAUAGGGUUGGCCGAUGGCUGAUUAGCUAGUUGGUGGGGUAAAGGCCUACCAAGGCGACGAUCAGUAGCUGGUCUGAGAGGACGACCAGCCACACUGGGACUGAGACACGGCCCAGACUCCUACGGGAGGCAGCAGUGGGGAAUUUUGGACAAUGGGCGAAAGCCUGAUCCAGCAAUGCCGCGUGUGUGAAGAAGGCCUUCGGGUUGUAAAGCACUUUUGUCAGGAAAGAAAUCAUUGGCUCUAAUACAGUCGGGGGAUGACGGUACCGGAAGAAUAAGCACCGGCUAACUACGUG